UUAAAAUACUAGUUCCCGUAGGAUCACCUAAGUUAAGCAACAUUAAGCUUGGUCAGUACCUAGAUGGGUGACCGCUUGGGAAUAUCAGGUGCUGUAAU